rnacentral:rRNA from 1 species
CAGUAGCCGCGGUAAUACAGAGGGUGCAAGCGUUAAUCGGAUUUACUGGGCGUAAAGGGCGCGUAGGUGGUUAUGUAAGUGAGAUGUGAAAUCCCCGGGCUCAACCUGGGAACUGCAUCUUAUACUGCGUAGCUGGAGUGCAGUAGAGGGUAGUGGAAUUUCCGGUGUAGCGGUGAAAUGCGUAGAUAUCGGAAGGAACACCAGUGGCGAAGGCGGCUACCUGGACUGACACUGACACUGAGGCGCGAAAGCGUGGGGAGCAAACAGGAUUAGAUACCCCGGUAGUCCCUGUCUCUUAUAC